rnacentral:rRNA from 1 species
UUCCGGUUGAUCCCGCCGGAGGCUACCGCUAUUGGAGUUCGAUUAAGCCAUGCGAGUCGAGAGUCUUAGGGACUCGGCGUACCGCUCAGUAACACGUGGGUAACCUGCCCUAUGCUGGGGAAUAACCCCGGGAAACUGAGAGUAAUGCCCCAUAGUCCACUACGCCUGGAACGGUGAGUGGAUCAAAGCUCCGGCGGCAUAGGAUGGGCCUGCGCCGUAUCAGGUUGUAGGGGGUGUAAAGUACCCUCUAGCCAUCAACGCGUACGGGUGUUGGGAGACAUUGCCCGGAGAUGGAUUCUGAGACACGAAUCCAGACCCUACGGGGUGCAGCAGGCGCGAAAACUUGGCAAUGCGAGCAAUCGUGACCAGGGAACUCCAAGUGCUUGGGGUAAGACCCAAGCUUUUCUUGACUCUUCAAAGGUCUUGGAAUAAGGGGUGGGUAAGGACGGUGCCAGCCGCCGCGGUAAUACCGGCGCCUCAAGUGGUAGUCGCUUUUAUUGGGCCUAAAACGUCCGUAGCCGGUCUGGUGCAUUCGUGGGUAAAUCAACCCGCUCAACGGGUUGAAUUCUGCGAGCACGGCCAGACUUGGGACCGGGAGAGGUGUGGGGUACUCUCAGGGUAGGGGUAAAAUCCUGUCAUCCUGAGAGGACCACCUGUUGCGAAGGCGCCACACUAGAACGGAUCCGACGGUCAGGGACGAAACCUAGGGGCACGAACCGGAUUAGAUACCCGGGUAGUCCUAGGUGUAAACGCUGUGGACUUGAUGUUGGGGGCGCUCCGAGCGCUUUCAGUGUCGAAGCGAAGGUGAUAAGUCCACUGCCUGGGGGAGUACGGUCGCAAGGCUGAAACUUAAAGGAAUUGGCGGGGGAGCACUGCAACCUGAGGAUUGUGCGGUUUAGUUGGAUUCAACGCCGGA